AAAGCCUCCAACAAAGCUCUACUGAGUGGCUGUAACCUGUCAGAGAGAAGCUGUGAAGCUCUGUUCUCAGUUCUCAGCUCCCAUUCCUCUAUUCUGAGAGAG